CAAUAGCAUAUAUUAACGUUGUUGCAGUUGAAAAGCUCGUAGUUGAACUUUUGGUAGGAGCGACCUGGCCUUGGGCGCAUGCCCUUGUUUUGCCGUGUGUCGUGUCUGGCCAUCCUUUUCCGCUCUUUUGGCGGGAAUCUUUUACUGUGAGUAAACUGGAGUGCUCAAAACAAGACGUUUGUUUGGUACAUUAAAGCAUGGAAUAAUAAGAUAGGACCUGGUUACUAUUUUGUUGGUUUGCAUAGCUGGGUAAUGAUUAACAGGGACAGUUGGGGGUAUUCGUAUUUAAUUGUCAGAGGUGAAAUUCUUGGAUUUAUGAAAGACGAACGACUGCGAAAGCAUUUACCAAGGAUGUUUUCAUUAA
rnacentral:rRNA from 1 species